rnacentral:rRNA from 1 species
UUUAGAUGUAAAAUAUUUAAGCUUGAGUAGUAUGAGUAUAAGAUCUUGAAACUUAAAGAAUUUGGCGGUAUUUUAGUCCAUUUAGAGGAAUCUGUCCCGUAAUCGAUAAUCCGCGUUGGACCUCACUUGAAGUAAUUUAACAUGUAUACCGCCGUUGUUAAAAAUCUUUAUAGAGCGAAAUUUUUACAGUUUUUAUUAGAAAAUGUUUCAGGUCAAGGUGCAGUGGAUGUUUAAGAGGUGGUGGAUUACAAUAUUUUAUUUGUAUAUGGAGUGUUAAUUGAAAUAUAUUAAUAUGAAGGUGGAUUUAAUAGUAAUACUUAAUUAGAAUGUUGGUAUGAUUAGAGGCUCUAUGAUAUGC